rnacentral:lncRNA from 1 species
UAAAUUUUUAUAUUUUAUGAUGCUACAUAGGCAUUGUGGUUUUGUUAAUACUUACAUUUGUCAUUUAACAAUUUCACUGCCAUUCUCUCUCCCUAGGAGAAGAAAUUGACCAGAGUGACGUGAACAAAAUCCUUAAAAACAUUGGGUUAAUACUCCACCUAAGAGAAAACAGAGUACUAAUGAAAUCUGUGCCACUUGAUGCUACCGGGAAGGUGUACAAGUACAAGCUGAUGGAUACCAUCAAGGGUCUCCCAG